GAUGAACGCUGGCGGCGUGCCUAAUACAUGCAAGUCGAGCGAACGGACGAGAAGCUUGCUUCUCUGAUGUUAGCGGCGGACGGGGGAGUAAGACGUGGAUAACCUACCUAUAAGACUGGGAUAACUUCGGGAAACCGGAGCUAAUACCGGAUAAUAUUUUGAACCGCAUGGUUCAAAAGUGAAAGACGGUCUUGCUGUCACUUAUAGAUGGAUCCGCGCUGCAUUAGCUAGUUGGUAAGGUAACGGCUUACCAAGGCAACGAUGCAUAGCCGACCUGAGAGGGUGAUCGGCCACACGGGAACUGAGACAGGGUCCAGACUCCUACGGGAGGCAGCAGUAGGGAAUCUUCCGCAAUGGGCGAAAGCCUGACGGAGCAACGCCGCGUGAGUGAUGAAGGUCUUCGGAUCGUAAAACUCUGUUAUUAGGGAAGAACAUAUGUGUAAGUAACUGUGCACAUCUUGACGGUACCUAAUCAGAAAGCCACGGCUAACUACGUG
rnacentral:rRNA from 1 species